AACCGAUACGAUGGAAGCGUACAAAGCCAGUCGCAGUUUUAUUUUUUCUAAAAAUGAUUCUAAGCAUGAGAACUUUGGUUGUUUAUUUGUAAAGUCAUUUAGGUCGACAGUCUCGGUUGUUAGUUAAAUGGCGAUAACUCUUAAUCAGCUAAAGCAUCAUUCAUCUGGUGAUGAUUGGUUGGAAUUUGUGUUUUCUUUAGUAUUGCACAUGUGUAAUGCUUUUCUAAAUAUGAAUGAAGGCUAAUUUAUCCAGGUUGACUCUUAUGUAGUCCUGGUAUGUUGUACGUCCCGUCUUGAAACACGGACCAAGGAGUGUAUUGCCAAAGCGAGUCAUUGACUAUUUAUACAGUCAUAGGCGAAUUGAAAAAGAUUUAAUGUAUGAGUUUCGAUUUAUCGGAAUGCAAUAUAAUGGUAGACUAUUAGCWUGCUAUUGUCUGCACAUAGAGCUUUGGUAGUGCGACCCGAAAGAUGGUGAACUAUGCUAGUGCAAGUGAAAUCAGAAGAAAUUCUGAUGGAAGCUUGAAGCGGUCCUGACGUGCAAAUCGGUCGUCUGACAUUGGUAUAGGGGCGAAAACUAAUCGAACCAUCUAGUAGCUGGUUCU
rnacentral:rRNA from 1 species